rnacentral:lncRNA from 1 species
ACCCUAGAGAACGAAGAUACAACCUAGAAUCCAAUUCCGAAGGAGAUUUGAGGCAAAAUUUCAUCAUUCUACUUAAUCUUUUGUUUUCCAUUAUGGCUAGACAAUUAGAAUUCAUUUAUUUGCUGUUAUUUACCUCAAUCAUGAGCUAAAACUCUUAAACUUCUGUUUGGGGAUACAAAAUUGAGACUAUGGUUUGAUUAUUGGUAGGGUUAAUUCAAUGUUCGUGAUUUUUGUUAUUUUUAGCUUGCUAAAGAACCUUGUGUGUGAAUGAUAAUUAAUUUUCUGUUAAUAGGAAGGUAAUUAAAUAGUAUGAACAUCUUUUGAUUAUCAACCUCAUAUGUUUGUGUGACCACUUUAUCAUAUGUCUAGGAAUAAUGAACAUGAAACUAGAAUUAAUAAGAAAAUUAGGUAAAUUCAUGUGUGAGCUUGUGUGAUGACCAUCAACCAGAAGUUAACUAAAGGACCAAAUUAGUAAACUAUUGCAAGUCUAAAUUAACCCGAAUAAUUAAUCUAGUGAAUUUAGUUAAAUUAGACAACUGAUCACUGUUUGAGUUAGUUUGUUCAGUAAGGGUUAGUGUAGCGAACGCGAAGCUAAUCAUUUGAGCCGGUAGCCAACAAAAGAGUUGAUCCAUUGCACUAUUACCACAAUAUCAACCAUAGGAUCAAUUGAUUUGAACUAAACAGAAGUCCUUCCGGUUAUUGAAUCUAGUUAAUUCUUUGUUUUUCUAGCUUUUAGAUUAAGUGAUAAUUAGUAAGUUUCUAGUCUUGUAAAACUAGAGAAAACCCCUAUUCAUUAAUUAAUUUAAAUAAAAUUAGCUUUUAGUUUUAAUUUACCGUUCCCUGUGUUCGAUACCCUAUUUAUUUAGCUAUACCAUAAUUGAUAGGUCCACUGCCUUUGUGUGUUUAUUUUAUAAAAGUAGGUUUAAAACUAAGUGAGUUUACACACAUCAAGUUUUUGGCGCCGUUGCCGGGGAACGGUUCAAAUAGUGAAUUUUAUUUGCUAAUUGUUAUCAUUUUUAUUUUAUUGAUUUUUUUAUAUAGUUUAAUUUUUAUUUUUUUUAAUUUUUAUAUUAUGUAUUUUCCAAAUCUCGAUGCUUUUGAUGCUUUUCUUGAGGAAGUAGUGCAGGAAAUUGAGCAAGAAGAUGAGGAGUAUGACUCAGAUGAUGAUUUGAAGAAAUUUGGAAGAUGGUUAGAUAACUUCUUCACUAACGAACAAGAGCAAUCUGAGUCACAAGAGCUAAAUUUUGUAGAUGAAGAAUUUAAUCCAGAAAGAGAUUUGGAGGAGCUGGAAAGGUUGUUGGCAGAAGGGUCAGAUGAAGAACAAGAACAAGUUGAAUUCCAGGAACCAAGUUUUCGUUUGACCAUUACUACGACGAGGCCCCCUGUUCUUCCGGUUUGUGUUUUGAAGCGUGGGGUGACGACUCCAACUUUGGAGAAAGUUCUGAAGCGCGAUCCAUUUCUGAUUAGUACCCGACCGGUCCCAACCCUUGUCGGAAUUCUUGGGUUUUACGUAUUUAAGCUCGUUUGGCCAAUUUUAGAAGAAAAGAGCCAAAUUUUACAAAUUGGUCCAAAGAAAAUAUUUAAUGUAAUGGAUGGAUGGGCAUCGAAUUUAUUAGAAGUUUAUGAAGUUGGGAAUCUAGCUAAAGACUCGCACAAAAAGAAGCGCUUGCGGGAGGCAACCUGUCAUUAGAGUUUGCUUUUCUUUUUCUUUUUAAACUUCUAGUUUAUUAGGGUAAUUUAGGAAUUUAAUUUUGAUGUUUAUUUUCCUUUUUCUAUUUCAUGUGUGUUGUCUUGAUCUUUUUGAGUUUGAAGCUUAGGAUUGCAUGUGAGGGUCUAGAUUCAAGGCUGACGAAGCCAGAAAUGGAGUCUAGGCGAAUGAGGAAACGAAUUUUUGAGUCAAGCUAUGAGUCCAAUUGAUAGAAGGUUAUAGAGUGUUUAUUCCCUGAAGAAAAAUGAGGGAAAUUAUUAUUUUAUAUAACCCCCAUACAUCAUAAACGGACUUGGGUAGAAUAAAUUUUUUUGUCACACAGCGGUCUACUUGCCGAGUGCAUCUUAUCGACUCACCGAGUGCAUGUGAAAAUUCACAAUUCUUCUGCCAUUUACGUUUCAACUCGGCGAGUCUACAUACUUACUUGAUGAUUCGCUCAUUCUUCUUACUUUUGAGCUGAAGAUUUGAUGACAUUUGAUAUGGGCAUUGGUUCUAUUCUUUGAAGAUCAUUUUCCAAGCAUUUCCAAGAGUUUUUCCCUUAUAUUUGGAGCUUUUAUAAAGAUUGUACCACACGAUAUGUUUGACACCGAAGGCACGGAUGAGCUGUUCCCAUGUCUAAAGUCAGCUGAAGAUGGAGCUAUAAAUAAAGAAGUUCAACCUCGCAACUACAAUCCCAGGGGAGUUUGUUCCGAUUCCCUCUUUAUUUUAUUAUUCUUUAUCAUGAAUUAUAUGCAAUGGGGACAUUGCAUGAAUCAAGUGUGGGGUAGGGGGUUGGUUACAUCUUAGUAAAUUUAAAAUCAUAAUUUCCUAAUUUAGGUCUAUUUAAAAAAAAAUUCAACACUUGCAUACCAAAAAUGUUACUUAGGACUUAAUUUAGAAAAUUUUGGUAAAAAUAAAAUUAGGAUUCCAUGUUAGAAUUAUGUUGAUGAUUACAUGAAAACUCCAAUGUUUAGUUGAGCCUAUAUGCGUUCUAGUGCAUUUGUGGCUUUCUUAUUCCAGUGAAAUCAUGGGACAAAACACGACCUUGCUUAGCCCGAGGGAUGCAAUAUGUUUAGCAUCGUGUACCAGAAAUGUAUCCAGGAAAAUUAUUAUCGUUAGCCAAUAAAGGUUGAGGUUGAGUGCCCCUGCUUAAGCAUGUAGGAUUUUGAGUGAAAAAAGUGAGGUACAUGUUAAAAAAAAAGAGAAUUGCAAGAAAAACUGGAGAAUUUUGGAGCAAUUAAAGUGAAGAUCAAAAGAUCAAAAUUCCAUGAAAUUCACCAACUGAAGAUACCAAAAAUCAAACAACAAAGGUGGUGAAUUCAAAGAAAUCAAAGAUCAAAUUAUCAAGGAAGUGAAGAAUUCAAAAGAGCUCCAUAGUGGUAUCAUAAAUUGUAAUUCUAGAUUAUGUAUGCUUGGGUUGCUCAACUAAAAAUACCUUGAGGGUAGGAGGUGUUCUGCGGAUGGAUUCGGAGGGAUGCAAAAAAUGAGCAUUGUUCGUGAUAAGUGGGCGAAUGUUUAUGAGGAUUGUGAGUAUUUGGAGUAUGGGGGUAUUCAGGAAAAUUUUUAGACACAAAUGUAUGCGUUGCGGUCUUGGCAUAAUGGUUGGGUUAGAUUGGAGUUGNUGUUUAUGUAAUUCUAAUGUGUUAAAAUUCAGUUUUGCUUGGGGGCAAGCAAAAGUCAAGUGUGGGGUAUUUUGAUAUUUUCAUAUUUAGUUCAUAUUAAGUAUAGAUUUUUUUAUCACUUAUUAGCUAAAUUAUUGCAUAUCAUGGACAAAAGGUACUUAAAAGUGUUUGAAUUAUGUUUUCGGUCAAAAAGUGAAGCUUGGAAGCAAAAGGAAGUAGGAGAAGCGGUUGGGAGCUCGGGAAUUGAACAAAGAAGAAAACCACCAAAAAAACAACACCUACUCGGCGAGUAGGGUCACCUACUCGGCGAAUAGGGUCAUCUACUCAGAGACUUAUUGCAUAUGGGGAUUAAGAGAUGGACUCGGCGAGUCAGCAAUGGAUUCGGCGAGACUUAUUGCAUAUGGGGAUCAUGGAACCCUUCUGGAGAGAUUAGCUACGAUUGAAGAGCCAGAAGAACCCUAGAGAACGAAAAUACAACCUAGAAUCCAAUUCCGAAGGAGAUUUGAGGCAAAAUUUCAUCAUUCUACUUAAUCUUUUGUUUUCCAUUAUGGCUAGACAAUUAGAAUUCAUUUAUUUGCUGUUAUUUACCUCAAUCAUGAGCUAAAACUCUUAAACUUCUGUUUGGGGAUACAAAAUUGAAACUAUGGUUUGAUUAU